CUUAAAGUGAUCGGCGGAGUUAGGGCAUACUCUAAGCGUAGUAAUAUUCUUCUCGCUUCUGUAGUUGUCCUGGCGGCUUGCCGUUAAACCCCUAUAUUUCUAGUGGUUGACCUCGGAUUAGGUAGGAAUACCCGCUGAACUUAAGCAUAUCAAUAAGCGGAGGAAAAGAAACCAACAGGGAUUGCCCUAGUAACGGCGAGUGAAGCGGCAACAGCUCAAAUUUGAAAUCUGGCCCUAGCGGUCCGAGUUGUAAUUUGUAGAGGAUGCUUUUGGUUAGGUGCCUUCUGAGUUCCCUGGAACGGGACGCCAGAGAGGGUGAGAGCCCCGUACGGUUGGACACCGAGCCUCUAUAUAGCUCCUUCGACGAGUCGAGUAGUUUGGGAAUGCUGCUCUAAAUGGGAGGUAAAUUUCUUCUAAAGCUAAAUACCGGCCAGAGACCGAUAGCGCACAAGUAGAGUGAUCGAAAGAUGAAAAGUACUUUGAAAAGAGGGUUAAAUAGCACGUGAAAUUGUUGAAAGGGAAGCGUUUGCGACCAGACUUUUUCCAGGCGGAUCAUCCGGUGUUCUCACCGGUGCACUUCGCCUGGUUUAGGCCAGCAUCGGUUCUCUUAGGGGGAUAAAGGCCUGGGGAACGUAGCUCCUUCGGGAGUGUUAUAGCCCCUAGCGUAAUACCCUUCGGGGGACCGAGGAACGCGCA
rnacentral:rRNA from 1 species